rnacentral:lncRNA from 1 species
CAGGUGUCUUUAUCGAUGCCAUACUGAAGUGAGGAUUGUCAUAUCAGAUGAGUGAGCCAAUGACACACUAAUAUGACAGUAGGGUCAAAGGUUGAAUGUUAAGGUUCAUCCUCUUGGGACAGAGCUGCUGUCUAGCUGUACUGUAGCUAUAGUUGAUGGUUCCCUGCCCCAGGAAACUUUCCAUACUAUGGGCUCCAUCUGUAACUGUGGUGGAACAGGUCCCCAGCUGGUCGUCAGCUGAUCUGUAACUGUGGUGGAACAGGUCCCCAGGUGGUCGUCAGCUGAUCUGUAACUGUGGUGGAACAGGUCCCCAGGUGGUCGUCAGCUGAUCUGUAACUGUGGUGGAACAGGUCCCCAGGUGGUCGUCAGCUGAUCUGUAACUGUGGUGGAACAGGUCCCCAGGAAGUAGUCAGCUGAUCUUUAACUGUGGUGGAACAGGUUCCCAGGUGGUCGUCAGCUGAUCUAUAACUGUGGUGGAACAGGUCCCCAGGUGGUCGUCAGCUGAUCUUUAACUGUGGUGGAACAGGUCCCCAGGUGGUCGUCAGCUGAUCUUUAACUGUGGUGGAACAGGUCCCCAGGUGGUCGUCAGCUGAUCUUUAACUGUGGUGGAACAGGUCCCCAGGUGGUCGUCAGGUGAUCUUUAACUGUGGUGGAACAGGUCCCCAGGUGGUCGUCAGCUGAUCUGUAAUAAGCUGACAUAUGGAAUUGUUUUAAGAUGGUCAUACUAUGGAUCAUUUAGGUAUUUGAUUUUGAAUUUUAGGACACCUUCAGGUAAAAAAUGAAAUAUUGAAUACAACCUUUACUACGAUAGCCAAUAGAAACGCUUUGAAUAACACAUUCAUUAAUGAGGAAAAAGACAGUAUCUGUCCCUUAUCGAGGAGAUAUAAGAAAGCUUUGGAAAUAUUGAGGUUUUUCUGGACACAUAUUUAACCACUUAUUUUAGACAGCUCCCGCUAUUAUUUUGGUUGUGCACAAAAGCCUUGAUAUAGUCCACCUUAAUAUUAUACUGGGAGACAAAAAGCCGUGAUAUAGUCCACAUUAAUAUUAUACUGAGAGACAAAAAGCCUUGAUAUAGUCCACCUUAAUAUUAUACUGGGAGACAAAAAGCCUUGAUAUAGUCCACCUUAAUAUUAUACUGGGAGACAAAAAGCCUUGAUAUAGUCCACAUUAAUAUUAUACUGGGAGACAAAAAGCCUUGAUAUAGUCCACAUUAAUAUUAUACUGAGAGACAAAAAGCCUUGAUAUAGUCCACCUUAAUAUUAUACUAAGAGACAAAAAGCCUUGAUAUAGUCUACCUUAAUAUUAUACUGAGAGUCAAAAGCCUUGACAUAGUCCACCUUAAUAUUAUACUGAGAGUCAAAAGCCUUGACUUAGUCCACCUUAAUAUUAUACUGAGAGUCAAAAGCCUUGAUAUAGUCCACCUUAAUAUUAUACUGAGAGUCAAAAGCCUUGAUAUAGUCUACCUUAAUAUUAUACGCCCACUGAGAGCAAGUAUGGUGCUUGUAACUGUAUUUAAACAUAGCCUAUUUAAAACAAAUUGUUGUUACGUUUUGAUUAGAAGUGUAUUAUUCACUCUCAUUCUUAGCUUUAUCAAUAGUGCGAAUGGUAUGUUUAGCAAUAUAUUUCCAUAUUGAAGCCACGCAUUUAGGCUUCUUACAAUGUGCACUGCAAACAUGUUAAAAAUAUUUAGCAAAGAUGUUGUAGGUUUAUAUACUCUACAUCUGUUUACUGUUGUUAUUUAGUUUCUGUCGGUUAUAACGGACUAACAUUCCAAUAGGAGUUGAUGACAACGCAAUUCAUUAAAUACCGUAAAUACACAACUUGAAGCAACCACAUAUUUAGCAAUUGAGCAUGUUCUGAUUGGCCAGUGAGGGGUCAAGCCUCAACACACCUAAAACUUGACACCCCCGCCCCCCGAUUUUAUAGCGCUACCGCCAGCACUAAAGUUU